rnacentral:rRNA from 1 species
UACGUAGGGGGCAAGCGUUGUUCGGAAUUACUGGGCGUAAAGGGCGCGUAGGCGGCACGGCAAGUCAGGAGUGAAAGCCCGGGGCUCAACCCCGGAAUGUCUUUUGAAACUGCCGAGCUAGAGUGCGGAAGAGGCAACUGGAAUUCCCAGUGUAGCGGUGAAAUGCGUAGAUAUUGGGAAGAACACCUGGGGCGAAGGCGGGUUGCUGGGCCGACACUGACGCUGAGGCGCGAAAGCGUGGGGAGCGAACAGG